CCUACGGGAGGCAGCAGUAGGGAAUUUUCGUCAAUGGGCGCAAGCCUGAACGAGCGAUGCCGCGUGAGUGAAGAAGGCCUUCGGGUCGUAAAGCUCUGUUGCGGGGGAAAAAAGGCAGCAUCAGGAAAUGGGUGCUGACUGAUGGUGCCCCGCCAGAAAGUCACGGCUAACUACGUGCCAGCAGCCGCGGUAAUACGUAGGUGGCGAGCGUUAUCCGGAAGGAUUGGGCGGAAAGGUUGCGCAGGCGGUCCUGCAAGUCUGGAGUGAAACGCAUGAGCUCAACUCAUGCAUGGCUUUGGAAACUGGAGGACUGGAGAGCAGGAGAGGGCGGUGGAACUCCAUGUGUAGCGGUAAAAUGCGUAGAUAUAUGGAAGAACACCAGUGGCGAAGGCGGCCGCCUGGCCUGUUGCUGACGCUGAGGCACGAAAGCGUGGGGAGCAAAUAGGAUUAGAUACCCUUGUAGUC
rnacentral:rRNA from 1 species